CCACGUGCACUCGGUGGAAGAAUCCUGCAGAACCACUGCCUCCCUCCUGCAAGUCUCGCGCCUGUUGCGGGAUGCUCUCUCAUCCGAGGGCGUGCGAGGAACCUCCCUCAGCAGACGACAGCCCCGACGACAGUGGUCGUGCUCCUCUUUAACUGGUCAAAGCGAACCUUUACUGUUCACAACCUGAUUUUCCGGUCGGAUCUGAACACUCAAGCACUGGAAGCGAAGAGUGUUUCGCCUUUUCUUGGGUCCCUAGAGCAGCACAUCGAUUACAAACAUCUCUCCCUGGCGCAUCUCGCGAGAUGUCUUCGAUACCCGAGACCUGCGCAGGUGUCCUGCUGGUAUUGGCGGCUGUUCUGCAGACCGCGUCCCCCAGGUGCCUCCACCCGCUACCCGGUCUGGAAUCCCCAAACUUGCAGGACAAGGUGUCUCACUCGGACCUCGUGGUGACAGGCGUGGUGGAGAGACGGUUCCCUCACCCGGUGUCUGAUGGAGGGCUUCGUUGCCCAGGUGAGAGUGAGGUGUGUCUACAAGGGAGGACCCUUCGCCCUCGGUUCUUAACGUCAGCUACGCAGGCCAUACGAGCGGUCCCUGUGUGAAGACAAAGCUUAGCCCAGCCUCCAAACACCUGGUGUACCUGAAACGCCAGGCCAAUGGCGAAUUCCUGCCAACUUUUACAGACGACCCGGCGACCCGCAACUACAUGGAUGAGCUGAGCACCGUUGUGGCCUCAGUGUGCAGUACCCACAAGGUGUCAGGCGGGAGAUAGCGGAGGAGAAGUGCGAAGCCGACAGGAUCCAGCGUCGACUACGACGACAGCUGCAGACAAACGCUGACCACGGCUGCCUCAGGGUUCAAUAGGGCACCGCACAUGCGCACUGAGUGGGCUUGGCUGGUGUUGUGGGUGUGAUGUGUCUGUGGACUACGGUGCUGAGGUAGGGGGCAAAGGGCGUAGGAAGGGGCAGCGGCCACGUAUAACUGGUCCGCGAAGUAGAAGCAUGUUUGUAUAUUUAUAAUGAUGUGUUUAUAUAUUAUUCACAGUUGAAGUUUAUUUGCAAUAAAAAUUCCAGAGAUUUUUUCACCAA